UACAGAGGGUGCGAGCGUUAAUCGGAGUUACUGGGCGUAAAGGGCGCGUAGGCGGUUUUAUAAGUGAGAAGUGAAAGCCCCGGGCUUAACCUGGGAAAGGCUUUUUAGACUAUAGGACUGGAGUGCAGUAGAGGGUGGUGGAAUUUCCGGUGUAGCGGUGAAAUGCGUAGAGAUCGGAAGGAACAUCAGUGGCGAAGGCGACCACCUGGACUGAGACUGACGCUGAGGCGCGAGAGCGUGGGGAGCAAACAGG
rnacentral:rRNA from 1 species